GCUCCCUUCGUCUAGGGGUCAGGACGCCAGGCUCUCAAUCUGGAAACAGGGGUUCGAUUCCCCUAGGGAGCGCCA
rnacentral:tRNA from 2 species